UGAACACUAGUUUAAUUAUGGCUCUCAAU
rnacentral:piRNA from 1 species